rnacentral:rRNA from 1 species
UACGGGGGGGGCAAGCGUUGUUCGGAAUUACUGGGCGUAAAGGGCUCGUAGGCGGCCAACUAAGUCAGACGUGAAAUCCCGCGGCUUAACCGGGGAACUGCCUCUGAUACUGGAUGGCUUGAGUUUGGGAGAGGGAUGCGGAAUUCCAGGUGUAGCGGUGAAAUGCGUAGAUAUCUGGAGGAACACCGGUGGCGAAGGCGGCAUCCUGGACCAACACUGACGCUGAGGAGCGAAAGCCAGGGGAGCAAACGGG